AUACUUACCUGGCAGGGGAGAUACCAUGAUCACGAAGGUGGUUUUCCCAGGGCGAGGCUCAUCCAUUGCACUCCGGAUGUGCUGACCCCUGCGAUUUCCCCAAAUGUGGGAAACUCGACUGCAUAAUUUGUGGUAGUGGGGGACUGCGUUCGCGCUUUCCCCUG
ensembl:snRNA U1 U1 spliceosomal RNA